CGUUGACAUCAAUUAGGGUUUAGGCUCAAAGAAUGAAUGAGGCUCCCAGCAGAGAGAUUGGGACGUUUUUGAGGGUGGUUGCCCCUCUCUGCAACACAAAAGAUGAUCAGAUCAAAGAUCAUCUGAGCCGAUGAUUUCACCUCCCAAAUCAACAGCCCUCCUCUCUCUCUCUCUCUCUCUCACGCACACAUUCACUCUCUUUUUCUGUGUGUGUGUGUGUUUGCGAGUCGAAGAUUGGAUCUUCUCCAUCUUCUUCUCGCAGGAAAUUCUAUUUACACCCAAACAACUUCCCCAAAAGAAAUGAAAAUAAAAAAUAAAAAAAAUGUUUAGGCAGUCCUUACGAUAGGGUUAGAGGCUGUUGAUUGCAGCACAAAAACUUAACCCUCCGCAAGCGCUGCCUCCGGCGGAACAAAGAGAGGCUGUGACGAUGUAUUUUCUUCUGAGCACAUGAGUCGGGCACUGAGAACCCGACCCGUUUCUUGGCGGGGCAACUCUUAGGGUCUGUGAGAGAUAGAGAGAUAUGGGUUCCCAUUGUUUCUUCUCUCACGGUCAAUUGUUGUUGCAGCCAUGGCGUUUCCGGAUUCUUGCCUGAUUAUAUAUAGAUCUGAGCCUCAAAAAUAUAUACAGCAGAUAGAUUACCUUCAUAUUGUUGGUGUGCAUAUAUGCGCGCAAAACAAUUGUAAUAAUUGUGAUGCGAACACUGUCUUGUUCAUGUUUUGUGGAGUUUGUGUGUGGAAAAUGGAGCAAAUUAUCUGUUGAUUGUGUUUCA